UCUGCGGAAGGGGCAUGUCAGGGCAGAGCCCUCCACUUCUUCGUACAGAAAAGCGAAAAUGUUGACUAUGAAAGUGAUGCUAAAGCAAGCAGUCCUGGGCUCUCAGGAAUCAGGAAAACCCCUUGUGUUCCUGCCUUAACACAAUCUUGACACAACUUUCUAGUGGGAUGCAUUUCAACAUUUUUUUAAGCACCAAUGCCUUCUUACCAUCUCCCCACUCUGUCUCACGCAUCGCUACUUCUUUGCCUUUUUUUCUAGUGCAACCACUGGCUCAGAGAGUCUGAGCUGUCACUCAGCCUGGAUGGAGAAAUGGCCAUGGAGGGAUACCAUUUGUGACAGGUAAUUCUGAUUUAUGCCACUCCGUGCUAUCACACAGGGAUUUGAAAACAAUAUGCGCUGGUGCAGUCGCAUGCAUUUUGCUGUCUGCUGUUCUGCGAAGCCUGGAACAGCUUAAGGCUUGGUAUGUAUCCUCCUCCGCUCAGAGCAGAGAGCAUCCUGCUAUUGCUAAAAGGCAUUUUGGCAACAUGCAUAAAGUAUUAUCCUUCCUGCAGGAGUUCUCAGCAGCGAAAUGGUCGGAGUCACCGGUCCAGGCAAAGUAGAUGUGGCAACAGGCUGUGCUGUGGGAGGUUUAGUUCCCCAGCUUUGCUGUUCAUGGUUUGCUGGGUGAGCUGGGAGCAGCUGGUUUCCCUUCCAUGUGGUGCCUGGAAGCAGCAACAGGUCUGGGAGCGGAAGGUCUUGGGUGUCACUUGCUGUCCCCUCAGUUUGAAGAACAGUAACUCAUUGCUUUAGUAAAGAAUCAGUGCCCCAAAAAACCUUAUUAUGGAACUGGCCUCAAGGCAGGACAGCAGGAAACCCAGCGAUGCGAUGGAUCCAUCACCGCCCUCAGAAAUGACCCACGCGGAUCCCACCAGGGAACGGACAUUGCGCAGGAAGGGAAAUCUCUGAAAUGCAGCUCCCUCAGGAGAUCUGAGAAUCACCUGAGGAGGCGUUCUGAAGAAAAUGAAGAAGAGCGGGAACAGUGGGACCUCUGCAUGGUACUGACAGUGCUUCAAGGCUCUGGAUUUCAACAGUGUCUCCAGUUAUGAAGCUUCAGAUGAGUGAUGGGGCAAGGUAGGUCUUGAGGGGAUUGCAGUGAACUAACAAAUGACACUAUCCCAGAAGAGCUCAGAACUCGCUCUCUUUCCACCCAUUUAUUCUUUUGCCUUGAAAUACAUUCAGAAGUCCCUUACACAAAUCAGUGGUUUUUAUUUCAUUGCUCAACUUUCUUCAGCUAUUUCACCCUAUUGGGUGAAAUAUUUGGAAUCAUGCAAAUAGAUCCAAAUAUUAAUAACAGUUGCAAAUUAAAUUAUGUUCUAAGUACUUUAUAAUAAACAGAGUGAGAAAAAAUAUAUUCAUGUUAACACCUGAAUUUAUUGUGUAAGCAGAAUCAAGAAACUGAAGAUGAGAAGGAAUGUUAGAAGUUGCAAUGACCCUAGAUCUUGGGUCACGCAAUUUGAGCUCAGCCACUGGAAAACUGUUGUGCGUAUUUGCUUUGUUUUAAAAAACACACUGAUGACCCUGCAAGAAUGCUCCAUGGAUCAAGUCCCCAAAAUUACAUGGUAAAGUCCGUGAUCAAAAUAUAUCAUUUCAUGGUAAAGUCUCCAAACCUAGGCUGAACUUCACAAUGGUGCUGAGCCUUUACAAAUGCGUUCACUGCUAAUUUACAUGAUGGCACCACCCUGGCACAGGGUUGCUCAUCCCACUUCGGCAGUGGACCAAGCCAGCUGGCAUUCAGCAUGAAUAGGGAAUGGGUAUGGGCGAGGAAUAACAUCUACACCCUGCUCUGCUGCCUCCUGCCUGCCCUGUGUCCCCAAACCCCACCAGCGCCACUUUGCAGCAUCAGACCGCAUGGAGCUUUUCUACAGUCGCAUUGCAGGUGAGGAGUGAAAAACCCUUGUUUCAAACUCCUGCGUUAUCAGAAAACUUCUAGAGUUUCUCAGGCAUUCAUCGCAAACCCUCUAUCUCUCCAACAGUGAAAUGCCUUGCAGCGGGAUCGGGUUUUAUCCAGCACCAGGUACGCUGAUAACCCUCCCUAAUCAGCCACCAGCCUCUGCUCGGUGAAAUCGCUCCCUGCCGUACUUUUACUGAAGCUAUUUUUAAAUGACAGUGUGAUAUUUGUUUCUUUUUGCCUGUUUGUCAAUGGAAAAACUGGCUGUGCGUGGGUCUGUUCUGGCAAGAAACUUGCAGUGAUUUUUCAGCCCUUUCCAGCCGGGAUGGAGGGACGGAGGCAGGGCUGGAGAAAGUGCUGGUUGCAGGCAGGGUGAGUCCCCUGGGAGCAGUGACCCCACGAACCUCUGCCUGGCGGGGUCCCCCCGUGUCCAGGUGUGGGAAAAACCUGCUGGGUUCCUUCUGACUCUGGUGUUGAUGUUGCUUUGGGCUGGUUUUCACAAUUCAGGUUGUUUUAUGUUUAGCUCCGCUGCUACUUUCAUGAAUGUUGGGGUUUGGGGUUCUUUUUUUUUUUCACUUUAAUUGUACUAGAUUUUCACGAAAUUAUAUUUUUAGGUUUCAGUUCUGAACGGCCUCAAAGCAUGAGUAUCUAAAAACUGAAAAUUAAAACCUGAAAUGUCCAAAUGGGGUCACUGCGUGGACCAUUCACAUUUCUUUUUGUCAAACAGCUUUCCCAAACGGAGACGUAACCAGUUCCACCUCUUCAUCCAAGCGCCUGGACACCACAGCAUGUUCCACAAUGGGCUUUGCAUCUCAUUUCUCUCAAUAAUGUAUUACAGAUUGACAUUAGCCACUUUCCAACCCCUGGGGAUUUCUUCUGGAUGUAGGAAAUAGGAAAUGCCUGCUGGAAUGUUGCUGAUUCCCAAUCCAUCCACCCGUAAGCACUGUCAGAUGACAGUUGUCCCACAGUUUUUUACCAAGAUUUUCUAGCCCGUCAAAUUCAGACACGAAUGGCUCACAGUAGAUAAGAACCUACUGAGAAAUAUGGAUUGUCUAUGUGUGUGCAGCGAUCGGAUAUAAAACAUGCCUGAUUAAAUCCUGGAAAAUUACAUUUUCUGGUUUUAAGUCCUCUGUUUGUACAUGAGCCCAAGAUUUUUGUUUCUGCACCAAUGAGUUACUCCAGGAUUUGUUCCACCCCCUUUUCUUACAUAUAAUAUAUACAAUACUGCUUCCCUACAGAGCUAAUCCCAGAGACUUCAGCAAGAUUACUGCUCAGGUAGCUCAAGUACCUUUCCAUCUAAGAAAUGGGACUGUACCAGUCCCAUGAGAGGUGCCAGUCUCCAGGGUCAGCCUCAGGAGUAGAACUACAUCUUUACUAACAUUUUCUGCCCUGAUCCAGCAGCUGCAACAGCUGGAGCAAGAGUGAGAAUUUCAUCCCUGCUUGGCCUGAGCUCUGCCAAUUCCCAUCAGUUAUCCAGGCUGGUUUUCUCAUUGCAGAAUCCAGUAGAACUAGAUUGAAACCAACAUGUUUAUUUUCUCAUAGAGAAUCUGACCAAUAUUCUAAAAUCUCUUAAAUUUUCUAGUUUCUAAUCCAAAAGCCAUUGGGAAGACCAGAUACAGUUUGAUGGGCUAGAUUUUAAAGAUAAGUUGGACCCCAAUAAUUUCUGCUGCCUUUGGUUAAGAUUCCCGAGGCAAUAAUAAUGGAAGCUGUAAAAAUAUGUCCUUUAUUCACCAUGGCUUUACAUCAGUUUACCACUCUAAUCAUUAACUAGCCUGCUGCAUUAUCUGUGAAAAUUGCUCUGUAACAUUUAUGAGAUGUGACCUUUGUUAAUUCAAUGUUACAAAGUGUUGGAUUUGUUCUGUUUGCAAGUGGAACAGAUUUCCAAAUCACUCUGCAAUUAGUACAGUUUGAUCUAACCAGCCUAUCUCUGCAUGGGGUGGCCUUCUCCUGGAACAGCAGGAUCGCUGUCAGAAAUGGAAUCUAUUUUCCAUAUGGCUGAAAGGAAGGCUGUAACACCUGCUUACACUGCAUCAUCUUUGGCAAAGGUAAUUUCUGAAUGAAUAUUCCCGAUAAGGGAAAACAGUAACCAGACUUAGAAAGCUUUUUUGUUAUAAGAAAUACCUCUAUUAAAAAAAAAAAAAAAAAAAAAAAGAAGUAUGUGGCCAAAAAUGUUUGCUAUUUGUAAUAUUGUAAGGAGAGACCAAAAGGUAACAGGACAAUCUCAGGCUGAAAUGGGCACUAUUAGUCAUUCCACAACAGAUACAGAUAAAGCAAUGACAAGUGACAAUAGGAAGAUUCAGGAGAGCCCAGUGGCGUCAGGAUGCUUCAGUACGAGAUUCUCCAAAUCACUCCCAAGGCCACCAUUAGGAGUGGAUGGUGAGGUCCUUCCCUACCAUCUGGGUCCAUCCCCAGCCCAUCUUCCUGAUCCAGCUAAUGCUACCACGAAUUUCUGACUCUCACCAUCACACAGGACAACCCGUACCACUGCAGCGUAGGUGGUGUGCUGGAGGAACCAAGUUUUGUUGGAGCAACAGCUGUGUCGGAGCAGCAUCACGCAGCGCGGCCAUGUGGCACCACUCGACAGCAGAUCAGCAGCAGCCUGCAGCAUCCCCAGAAUUCGUAUCAUAUUUUUCCACCCCUGAGCUCUGAGUGGUCCAUGUCAGCACUUGGUUUUCAAUACAGAGUGAUCACCGCUUGCUCCAACUGGAUCUGCCUCAUGUGACACACAACAUUGUGAACAAACUGAGCAUUUUCCUGUCCUUGCAUCAGUCCCCUGAGCUUGUCCACUAGUGAUGGAAAAUAUUAGAGUUUGGUUUGAUGAGCCAAGUUAACCUCCGAUUAAAUCUCUGUGUAAAAUCAUAAAAGAUACCCAUUUGGCCCCUCAUGAAUCUGUUUUAAUUUUCUUCUAGCGUGACAUCUGAAUGUGCUUUCCUUCGCAGGAAACAAACAUCAUUUUGGACAAAGCAGGGACUGGGAAGCCACAGAGACACCACCCGCAUGCUGUGCUCCCUGCCUGGGAACAGAGAGGGAGGCUGGGGCUGAGCUGGGAUGGGAUGGGAUGGGCGGCGGGUCCUUGUCCAGGACAAACUGGUGCAGCUGCCACACGGACAGCAUGGCUCUACCAGGCCAAGGAGAAAGGUGCUCAGGUCCUCACAAUGGUCUUGCCUUUCAAACUGGUAUUUUACCACUUUUUUUCUUUCUUAGGUAUGAAAUGGAAACCGUAUUAACCUACAGCACAGGAUCAGUUUGGUGUGAAGGCAGCAGCGCAGGCUGCAGACAGAAAGUCCUGCCUGUGCUCUGCUGCCAGAGUGCAUCUUUUGGUCCUAACAUUCAAAGCUGCCUGCAAGCCUGGCCAACAGUGCCUGAGGAACCUCCCCUCUCCUGGUGACCUUGACAAUGUGCUGGUGAACAAAGGAGCUGCUAAGGAAACGAAUCUGAGUUGUGCCUGCGAAUGACAUGGGUUUCUUGGCAUGUGGCUGAAAAUUGUGGCAUUUGUUCCUAGAACUCAACAGAAUCGGGGAAUCCUCCUUCCUCCACGUCACUUUGCUGUCCCCUAAGGGAAAGGAAAAGGAUACAAAGGUCUGAGCAAGGAAAGCGCAAGAGAGAAGCUAGAGACACGUACAGGCCAGAGAGAAGCUAGAGACACGUACAGGCCAUUGUGAUAUGAAAAGUGGGGGAAAACGGGCUCUGUCAGUACUGGAGCUGCAGCAUUGCCUGUGAGCGGCAGUGGGGAGAGGGACCCCCCAACAGGCUCCACUCACCACCAGCCCACCCCAACCAUUUAUUUAGAUUACCUUCUCAUCUCCCAAAGUUGUUUCUGAAUGCAGGAACAUUUGGAAGGGGUUAAAUCACGUGCUGUGAACCAACUGGCAAGAAGGAGAAGAUUUGAGAGCAAACACAUGAAACCAGGGAGAAGGGGAAGGAGCAGCUGCUCUGAUGGGAUGAGCUCAGCCCCUCCAGGUGUCCCAGGAACACGAACACAUGCCCUGCCAGCCGUGACGAAGACAGCAGGACUGGCAGCGACUACGGCACUCAGAAGUGUGGCAGCAACAGCACAGGCAUCGCUGCCCUUCAGCUCCUUGCUGCGGCUCCAUCAUCGGCAUUUAUCGCAGUUGCAUGUGCCUGCACUGGUGCAGACUGGGCGAAGUCCUGGGUGGCCUGGUUAUCCCACAGCCCUGAGGCAGACACAGAUCCAGGGAAUGAGGGAGCCUGAGACAGAAGAAGUGGUCUGGGCAAAAACAUGUCUAGAAAUCCCCAGGCUCCCACAGGAGAGCAGCGCUAGAGCCAGGUUCUUCCCUGCUGGGCUGAGCAGGUUCCUCUCUGCAGCAACUCAACACAAUGUUUUCUCUUUUCAGGAUCAUGGAUUACUCCAUCAAACGAAAGAUUUUCCUGCUACUGUGUCCUUCCUCAAAAAUGAGACUCUCUCUACCAUGCACUGCUGCCCUCUUCUAGCAAAUACACCCAAGAUCAGCUGUUUGGGACCAGGUGCUGCUUCCUGGGACUGGCUGCUCGGUGUGGACAGAGUUCAUGAGGAAAUGCCUUGACACAUCCGCAUGGGAGGCAAAAGUGAAAAUCCAUCCCUGUGUUACACUGGUUCCUGUGAAGAGAAGGAGGACUAUUUUGCGGUGAAAGCCCUGAACUGGACUCCAGGUAUCCAAGUCACUACAGGUCUUCACAUUAAAAAAAUCUCUCUCACUGUGUGAAGAUCAUCUAGACUAGAGGGACCUUGGUCUCCUGUAGAUACCAAGAGACCAGCAAGAAUGAAGAAAAGGUGAAGAGCUGCCAGUGUCUUGAUCAGCUAGAAAAGAGAACCCAUUAAGUAAUGCCCUGAAACUUCUUUUCUGAGGGAUAGUAAAACAUACGCUCACUUGCACAAUGCAGACACUGUCAGCGAAGCAGGAGGCCGUGUCCUCGGCAUUGCGAAUCUGUGCCGUGGCUGCAGGGAGCCCAACACCUUGGACGUGGCUCAGGAGGAGAAUCUGUGUCACACGAAAGGAGAGGAAUGGAAACAGUGGGAAACCACCGGCAACAAAGGAAGGCGAACAAAACCAGGACAGACGGGAUCACAGACAGAGCCAAGUACAAGGCAAAAAAAUAGACUGUGGAAAGCUGGAAGGAAAACAAAACAAGUAAGCUAAAUUCUCCAUCCUGGCCCCAUCUCCCACCUCACUUGCACCUUGUUACUGAAAUUUUCUCCCACUGCUAAAAUCAGUGCAUCAACACAAAGGAUGGGGCACCCCACAUGACACUUGCAUGGUAAACAUCUUCCUGAGGAUGAAGCUUUCCCCUUGUGAUUUUGGCAGUUUGCAGUUACCACGUUUAGCAAACACAGUGCUGUGUGGGUCCCAUAAGGCUGGGUCCAAACCACUUUGUGCUACAGCAACGCCAAACCAACAGAGCAGCUUAAGUGAUUCAUUUUUAUUUUUGCAUGCAAGGCUGCUUUCAGCAAGUGGUGCCUUUUUGAAGGCCAUUCCUUUUCCACUCCACCCCAUCACAGAAGUGUUUUGGGGUUGUCGAGCAAAGAUCUUCCCUUUGCUGGAAUUCAGUGCCUCGAGCAAAGCACCAAAACCAACAUCCAGCUUGAAGGCUUAGCUCGGAAAUAAUACAGGGAAGCAUCACAUACAAUCGUUGUUGGCCAGACCUAUGCCACCUCCCAUCCACGAUCCCUGAAAAAAGUAUUCACUAAAUCAGUUCCAUCCACACAGCGAUGGUUAGUCUGCCAACACUUACAUACUCAUUAGCAUGAUUGAUUUCCCAUUAUCUAAUUAAUUACUGCAGAUUUCACAUUUUCACAUUACCUACUUUGCCAUUUGUUCAAGAACAGCAAACGGCUCGUCACCACAACGUGAUGGCAGCAAAUUUGUCUUUGUCCUGUACCUUGCAUUUUUCCCCAAAUCGAUGCAAAACUCCAACCAGGGACCAGCAAAAGCGGUCCAGGAGGUCUCUGGGUGCUCUAUCCCCUGCCUGAGGCUGCAGCCAAACCUCUCGCAGGCUUCUUGAGCUGAAGGUGCCAAAGGCUCCCGGUUCCCAGCCCAGUGUCUCGCUGUCCUCGCUGUCACAACGUUUUGCUGAUAUCCGACCUCCUUGCUGCAAUUUAAAUGCAUGGCUUCUUCCUCGCUCAGAUGCUGAAAGCUGAUGAUUUCCUGCUUGCAUUAGCUUUUUGUUGCAUAGUGAAGAGAGCUUGUUAGAGUUGUUCUGCCUGACUCCUCACUCAGUUUCUGUACUUAUACCAAUAAAAGAGAGUGGGAAAUUGUACUUGCUUUAUGUAGAAUAAGAAACUAUGUAAGACAGUAUAAAACCAAGCCCAUAUUUUUUAUUCUAAACCACACAUUACAGAUGCAGUUCCUAUAGGGUGCACAUUUACCAUUCAGUUUCAUUUCUGCAUAGGAGUAAUUAGCUUGCAAUGAGGAAAAUCAUUUAAUUAGGCCCACAGCUGAUUAGAGCCUGGUGCAUAGCCUAUCAAAAUAAAGGCAAAGAUAGAAAUUGAUUUCAACAUGUUUUGGGUCAGACCCCAUCUUCCAAAGCAAAUAGAGAGAUAAGACAGCAUCUGCUGACUAUUCACCUGCCAAGUCUUUGUGCUGAUCUCUAAUUUUAGGUCCUGCAGGCAAUUGUCUAGGUUAUUUACCACCUGGGCUGUUUUGAUCUUCUCUCAAAUGCGUGUAUUGAUGUACGAGCUCUCUUACCUCUACCAAGGUAAUACUGGCCCAACUACACUAGCAGUAUGAGGUUCAGGAUCAAUAUUGAUUCCUCCCUCAUUCAGCUGAACAGCAUUUUAUUUACCUAAAUACUAAUAUCUUUUAAGGGCCUGAACUGGCAAAUCUUGACUAAGACGUCUGAAAUGUGUGAGUUGGACAUGCUACAGAAAUGCAGAGUAUGAUCAUUAUUGUACAAUAUGGGAUGCACCUACGAUAUUCCCAUCACACGUUCACCUGGAUCCAUCACAGCUAAUGCAAGUAAGCAACAGAAUCCUACAGCUGACAGUCGAUCUGCAUCCACCCGAUUAGGCAUUUUUUCCUUACUGGGCACAGAACUCAACGAUUUGCUUACAUACUUACUGCAGACUUCUAUAUAUCUUAUAGAUAGACAUUAUUUGAUAAACAAAAGUCUGUCCUCCCAUAGAUGUAUGCACAUCACUUGGCUCCUGGAGAAUGGCUGCAUGAAAAGACAUCAGGAAUCCACUUCUUAAUUUCCUUCUCAUCUCAAAAUCUGACUUACUCAGCUUACAACUCAGUUGAUUUUGGAUGUCCAAGCACCCAUGACACGUGAACUCAUUCUUCUGUAUCUAGAUGGAUUUUCAGACCAAAGAGCAACACAGAUUCAGUGGAGCUUCUUCCUGUAAACUCAGCAGACAUGAUUCAUGGAUACACGGGAGGCAGGUACAUUGGAUUUGACUUUCAAGCAUGUCUGUUCUGUAGCAUUUCAUAAACCCUCGCUAAAUCCCAAACAAAACCAGGAGAAAUUCAAUUGUUUUGGCAAAGCCAGUGAUUCAAAGAGUGUGGCAAACAACUGGUCAAGAGCAGGCAGCAAGCUGGGCUGGCGAGUGUGAGGUACAGAGCCACCAACCCAAAUGCGUGGGAGUCAUUCAGGUCCAUAGGACCAUACAGUAUCUAUACUGGUUACUUGUUGUCGUGGUCCUUGGACCAAACUACUCUCCAAGCCUACACCUGAGUUU